rnacentral:rRNA from 1 species
AACGAACGCUGGCGGCAUGCCUAACACAUGCAAGUCGAACGAUUGCCUUCGGGUGAUAGUGGCGCACGGGUGCGUAACGCGUGGGAAUCUGCCCUUAGGUUCGGAAUAACAGCUGGAAACGGCUGCUAAUACCGGAUGAUAUCGCGAGAUCAAAGAUUUAUCGCCUGAGGAUGAGCCCGCGUUGGAUUAGGUAGUUGGUGGGGUAAAGGCCUACCAAGCCGACGAUCCAUAGCUGGUCUGAGAGGAUGAUCAGCCACACUGGGACUGAGACACGGCCCAGACUCCUACGGGAGGCAGCAGUGGGGAAUAUUGGACAAUGGGCGCAAGCCUGAUCCAGCAAUGCCGCGUGAGUGAUGAAGGCCCUAGGGUUGUAAAGCUCUUUUACCCGGGAAGAUAAUGACUGUACCGGGAGAAUAAGCCCCGGCUAACUCCGCG